UACGUAGGGUGCGAGCGUUAAUCGGAAUUACUGGGCGUAAAGCGUGCGCAGGCGGUGAUGUAAGACAGAUGUGAAAUCCCCGGGCUUAACCUGGGAACCGCAUUUGUGACUGCAUCGCUGGAGUGCGGCAGAGGGGGAUGGAAUUCCGCGUGUAGCAGUGAAAUGCGUAGAUAUGCGGAGGAACACCGAUGGCGAAGGCAAUCCCCUGGGCCUGCACUGACGCUCAUGCACGAAAGCGUGGGGAGCAAACAGG
rnacentral:rRNA from 1 species